rnacentral:rRNA from 1 species
GACGAACGCUGGCGGCGUGCUUAACACAUGCAAGUCGAACGGAAAGGCCCUGCUUUUGUGGGGUGCUCGAGUGGCGAACGGGUGAGUAACACGUGAGUAACCUGCCCUUGACUUUGGGAUAACUUCAGGAAACUGGGGCUAAUACCGGAUAGGAGCUCCUGCUGCAUGGUGGGGGUUGGAAAGUUUCGGCGGUUGGGGAUGGACUCGCGGCUUAUCAGCUUGUUGGUGGGGUAGUGGCUUACCAAGGCUUUGACGGGUAGCCGGCCUGAGAGGGUGACCGGCCACAUUGGGACUGAGAUACGGCCCAGACUCCUACGGGAGGCAGCAGUGGGGAAUAUUGCACAAUGGGCGGAAGCCUGAUGCAGCAACGCCGCGUGCGGGAUGACGGCCUUCGGGUUGUAAACCGCUUUCGCCUGUGACGAAGCGUGAGUGACGGUAAUGGGUAAAGAAGCACCGGCUAACUACGUGCCAGCAGCCGCGGUGAUACGUAGGGUGCGAGCGUUGUCCGGAUUUAUUGGGCGUAAAGGGCUCGUAGGUGGUUGAUCGCGUCGGAAGUGUAAUCUUGGGGCUUAACCCUGAGCGUGCUUUCGAUACGGGUUGACUUGAGGAAGGUAGGGGAGAAUGGAAUUCCUGGUGGAGCGGUGGAAUGCGCAGAUAUCAGGAGGAACACCAGUGGCGAAGGCGGUUCUCUGGGCCUUUCCUGACGCUGAGGAGCGAAAGCGUGGGGAGCGAACAGGCUUAGAUACCCUGGUAGUCCACGCUGUAAACGGUGGGUACUAGGUGUGGGGUCCAUUCCACGGGUUCCGUGCCGUAGCUAACGCUUUGAGUACCCCGCCUGGGGAGUACGGCCGCAAGGCUAAAACUCAAAGGAAUUGACGGGGCCCCGCACAAGCGGCGGAGCAUGCGGAUUAAUUCGAUGCAACGCGUAGAACCUUACCUGGGUUUGACAUGGGUCGGGAGUGCUCAGAGAUGGGUGUGCCUCUUUUGGGGUCGGUUCACAGGUGGUGCAUGGCUGUCGUCAGCUCGUGUCGUGAGAUGUUGGGUUAAGUCCCGCAACGAGCGCAACCCUUGUUCACUGUUGCCAGCACGUUAUGGUGGGGACUCAGUGGAGACCGCCGGGGUCAACUCGGAGGAAGGUGGGGAUGACGUCAAGUCAUCAUGCCCCUUAUGUCCAGGGCUUCACGCAUGCUACAAUGGCUGGUACAGAGAGUGGCGAGCCUGUGAGGGUGAGCGAAUCUCGGAAAGCCGGUCUCAGUUCGGAUUGGGGUCUGCAACUCGACCUCAUGAAGUCGGAGUCGCUAGUAAUCGCAGAUCAGCAACGCUGCGGUGAAUACGUUCCCGGGGCU